rnacentral:rRNA from 1 species
GAACCACUUCGGUGGGGAUUAGUGGCGAACGGGUGAGUAACACGUGGGCAAUCUGCCCUGCACUCUGGGACAAGCCCUGGAAACGGGGUCUAAUACCGGAUACUGAGCCUCGCAGGCAUCUGCGGGGUUCGAAAGCUCCGGCGGUGCAGGAUGAGCCCGCGGCCUAUCAGCUUGUUGGUGAGGUAAUGGCUCACCAAGGCGACGACGGGUAGCCGGCCUGAGAGGGCGACCGGCCACACUGGGACUGAGACACGGCCCAGACUCCUACGGGAGGCAGCAGUGGGGAAUAUUGCACAAUGGGCGCAAGCCUGAUGCAGCGACGCCGCGUGAGGGAUGACGGCCUUCGGGUUGUAAACCUCUUUCAGCAGGGAAGAAGCGAAAGUGACGGUACCUGCAGAAGAAGCGCCGGCUAACUACGUGCCAGCAGCCGCGGUAAUACGUAGGGCGCGAGCGUUGUCCGGAAUUAUUGGGCGUAAAGAGCUCGUAGGCGGCUUGUCACGUCGGUUGUGAAAGCCCGGGGCUUAACCCCGGGUCUGCAGUCGAUACGGGCAGGCUAGAGUUCGGUAGGGGAGAUCGGAAUUCCUGGUGUAGCGGUGAAAUGCGCAGAUAUCAGGAGGAACACCGGUGGCGAAGGCGGAUCUCUGGGCCGAUACUGACGCUGAGGAGCGAAAGCGUGGGGAGCGAACAGGAUUAGAUACCCUGGUAGUCCACGCCGUAAACGGUGGGCACUAGGUGUGGGCGACAUUCCACGUCGUCCGUGCCGCAGCUAACGCAUUAAGUGCCCCGCCUGGGGAGUAC